UCUUUAUUGGCUGAAUGUGCUGUACUAGAUAUUUAAAAUAACACAAACAUUCAUGAUUGCAGUUUUUAAAUUUAGCUCACAGUUGAGUUAGAUACAACAGUUAACAUACUUAGGAAAGACAAUUCUUAACAGCUUUAUCAAGCACAUUUGUAAAAGAUUAAACUUUCAUUUCCAGUUACUAUGAUGUCCCCCAUACACCAAAUGAACCAACACAUUUAUUUUAAAUAAUGGAAACUGUACAUGGCUACACUGUGCUCUAAAAUUACAUUAAUGAGGACAUUAAUUUUAGCAUUUAAAAAAAGGGAUUUUAAAAUAACCAUAGAAAAAUUUGAAAACCCUGACAAGCCGACUACAAAGAAAGAAUUCCUCAGUUUUCAGAUGCAACGGUAUGAUGGAGUUGGAUGGGCAGCUGACUGUGAGAGAAGUCACGGUGACCUGAACCUAUUCCAGUAAAGCCAGUCAGCAGUGAAUGUGGGGCAACUGCACGCAGCUGGUCUACAGCUCCCACUGCCAGGUGACCAAGGAGCAUCCUGAAGUUUGAGAGAAGAGACUGUGUGACACCAACAUUCUUCCAGCUACUGAACAAGGUCCCUCAGCAGUCUCUCCGUGUGUCGUGGGAGCUGCCUGCGCUUCUGUGAACGGGACACUGAGAAAUGCUUCAAUAUGUGCCACGCCAUUCCAGAACACUCCCUGCAGAAGCAGCUCUUCCCGCAGCACUCAACCUUCUGCUGAGAUGCAAAAUAUAUUUUAAAAUGUAUUUUAAAGUCAUACAGGAUCUGAUCUAGUAAGAAUGGCAAAACAAAUACUUCUUGGGCAUUUCAAAUGAGGUCAUUUUAGUUGAAAUGUAUGCCAACACUUUUCGAAGUCAGAGGGAGAAAAAUGGCAAACCCAGUGUUUAAUACACCAAAUACCUUUAGGGUACUUAGAAAGUGAACAGUCUUAUUACUUGUUAUUUUCCUGGACUUGGCAGAUACCUAUGUUUUCAUCAUGGUUGAAGAAGCUGCUUGGAAACAGGUGAGCUGCAAGUGCAUGCCACUCUUAAACUUGUUCAGGAGCUCUUCCAGUAACCUGCAGGAAGGAGACACUUGUCUUACAGCCUGACAGAUGGGGUGGCCCUAGCAACACAAGAAAACACCAGGGGAGCCAGUGCCCGGCUCUGCCUGUGCUUGCUGUGUUGAGAAGGCAGCUGAAAGGUUCUAUCUAUGGAUCCUUAACUCAGCAAAAGAAACACAUCAAUCAAAGAAGUUGGUCAAAUAGGAUAUACUGAUACACGUAUUUAUGUUUGUAUAGAAACAUCCCCUUUCUAUCCCCUCCCAGGAUUAGAUUCCUCCCUAAUACAGAA